UCAGUUCCAUAUUCUCCUCCCCCGAGAGGCCGGCAGGGGACCUCUGAGAAAGGGAAGUUAUAUUAAUGAGCACCUUUUCCUCCUCAGUUUUUCUGGUCUUAAACAAGAUUACUACCAUAUUUGCUUAGGUAUUUGGACACUUCAAAUUUAAAGAGAUCCCAGUUCUUGCAAUAAGAUUUUAUUCACAAGCCCUUUCCCAAAAGUGUGAGAGCAGAUCUUUAACCUCAAACUUAACUACAUGAUUAUUUAAUAACGAGCUAUUUAGCUUCCAGUAGGAUGCUCUACCAAGGUUCGUAUCAGGGGUAAAUAUUUUGAUAUCAAUGUAAAUAGCCCUAUGGUCUGUGAGGGGAAUAGUAAAAAUAUGUGUCGUAACACACUAUCAAUACAUUUGGAUAUAAGCCAAAAACCUAUUCUGGAUUGUCUGGAACCUGUUUUGUUACUCCAAGUGAACAAUCUGCCGGCCAGAAACCUCUCUCCAUGUAUCAGUAAGAUCAAACUUUUUCAUAAAAAGUAUUAAACCCAAAUUCUGACUGGUUGAAGAAGAAAAAAAGACACCCUCGUUCACUUACCCUCGCUUUAUAUCCUUGGGCUAAUCCCCUUCACCAUUUUGGACGUUGGUCCAAACGAUUAGCCAAACAAGGAUUAUUCGCAAUGUAAGCCCCUCAACCCUUCUUUCUGAUCGAGUUUACGAGUGUACAACCCCCACAAUUCAAUUCGCGAUGAUUGCACAUUCGCUAAGAAAAAUAAGCCAAAAUUUUAGACCUCAACGGCAAUAUGGAUAAGUAAACAUACAAGUAAACUAAUUUAAAAAAGGUUAGAAAUUGUGCUACUAUUGGACAUGACGGCACAAACACAUCUCAUAAAAGUAGCAAUAUUUUUGUUUGGUUUGCUUUUGGAAUUUUUUUUAAUUAAACAUUUUCCUUCUUCAGAAGUUCCAGCUAGGCAGGCUAACUUUAUUUAGCUAAUUAAUUUGCUAGCUUUCAUACAGUAGGCAUAUAUUAAUAAUGAUAUAGUUAAUAUAGACAUGCAAUCAUAAUUGACUGUAGCACAUAUAAAGCACCCACAAGCUACCGGUGGCUGAAAACACAAUCAUCGCUGGAUGAACAGUGACAAAUUUCCAUUUAAAAAUAAUUCCUUCCGCCCUUGCCCUGCAAGUGUAUACUCGUCAGACUUCAUUAAACAUCAUCAGAAGUGUCCACUUAAUUUGAGGGCUGUCUUUUAAGUGUUUGGAUAGGGUGUCUUUUAAGUGUUUGGAAUGCUGCCUUUGAGUCAUUGUGGAAAAUGUUACAUUUGUCGGUACUAUACACAAUGCAUGCAUUUCAUUACUGCAUGUUGUUUCAUCAGACACUGGGUUGAGGACGUGUGGGAGGACUGCAUCACAAAUACAUGGGUUAGAUUAAUCUUAAUCUUUGGCUGCAUUCAUCCUGAAGGCGGAGGGCGCUUCUCAGUAGAGACCGAGGUGGAAAUAAUGGGAUUCGGAUACGUACUGACCUUCCUACAACAAGAGUCAACAGUCUUUGAGCCCAGCCUUGUACCAAACACAUUUUGAUAAGAAUGCCCCAGUGGAUGAGUGGAUGUUGGCAGCAAUGACCCAAGCAAGAUGCAGUACAGCACCAACAACUGUUGCAGCGGGAGCCGCCUAGAGAAGUCCUACAAGGUGCAGAGAUCCGCUGCUGAAAGGACAGCGCUGUUUCAUCUUGGCUGACGACUUUUAUGAAUGGAAGCAGGAGAAAGACAAGCAGCCCUUCAUCUAUUUCCCCCAGACUCAAGGACCCGCUCACAUGAAAACAGAGGACCAGGAUGAGGGGACACCCUAUAAGGAGGAUACAGACAUGCAUGUCUGAAGAAGGCUCUGUAGACCUGGAAGAGGACAAAGGAGUCUGUGAGUGGAGAGGAUGGCUGUUGCUGACCAUUGCAGGACUGUUUGACUGAUGGACUCCCCAUAGUGGAGAUUCCCUCUAGACCUACACUGUGAUCACUCUGGGUACAUCCCCUAUCAUCAAGGCAUCCAUGACCGGAUGACAGAGGUCAGAAGAUGGCUGGAUUUUGGUGAGGAGAAGUCAUUAGACGCCCUAAAACUGCAUCAGUCCAAAAACAAACUGACCUUUCACCCAGUCUCUUCACUGGUCAACAACUCUCAAAAACAAUUCCGAGUGCCUGCUGCCAGUGGAUCCUCAGGCUAAGAAAGAGCUCAAGCCCUCAGCUGGCAGUAAGAUGAUGAUGGGCUGGCUAAAGAGCAGCACACCCUCCAAGAGGAAAGAGCCAGACACUGGGGAAGUCAAACAGGAGGGCCACACAGGAGAAACCAGGCCUGAGAAGCAGCCGAAGACUGCAGGGCCUCUCCAACAGUGGCUGCAAGGACCCAGUAAGAAACCCAGGACCAACUGAGUGGUUGGGACAAACAUUGACUGACUUUGAAAAGAGAUGGGAACAGACUGAAGAAUGUAUGUCUUAUUGUCUUGAGGUGGAAGAGCGCAAAUGGUUUGAUUAUUUAUAUGUCUGGUGUUGGUUGAAGAUAAUGUAAUUAAACUUUUGACAGAUUUCGAUGGUCCCGUGUUCUGUCAACUUUCACAAGUGACCAAUUUUUAUAUUUCAGUACAAGUAGUAGACUGAAUACAAAUACCAAUUGAGUGCCCCCAUGCAAAAUGACACAUUUCAAUGUAUUCCAAGAGUAUACUACAGAUUUGAGUAAACUGUCUUUCAACAGCUGUGUGUAUGAGAGCCAUGAUAGUAACCUACUGUGCUUUAACUACCUGUUCUACUUGCACUAACACACACAGAUUCUUUAUUCAAUAACCAUUAUUACUACCUGAAACACAAAGACAUUUUCAAACAAUGUAGAUUAAGUGCAUUUAUCAUUUCAUUAACCUGAUUAAAGCUAACACAUUUCCCCCAUAUGUCCUCUGAUGCAAUUCAAAUUCUAAACAUAAUAUGCGAACAGACAAAAGAUCUGAUCGGUAAAAAAAAAAAAAAAAAAAAAAUCCAGCACUUAAAUAAUUUGCCAACCUGAGCUAUCGGCAGAGAGAGAAACUGACAAGACAUGUUUCCUUGCCUUAAACGAUUGACAAAGGUUUGUAAUAGUUGACAGCAUAAAAAGAAGACAGGUACUAGCUAAUAAUAGUAAAGAGAUAUAUUUUCAGAAUAGAAAUAUCUCCCUUGGUUUGAUUCUCUACCCUGUCUCAAU